AGAGUUUGAUCCUGGCUCAGGACGAACGCUGGCGGCGUGCCUAAUACAUGCAAGUCGAGCGGACAGAUGGGAGCUUGCUCCCUGAUGUUAGCGGCGGACGGGUGAGUAACACGUGGGUAACCUGCCUGUAAGACUGGGAUAACUCCGGGAAACCGGGGCUAAUACCGGAUGGUUGUUUGAACCGCAUGGUUCAAACAUAAAAGGUGGCUUCGGCUACCACUUGCAGAUGGACCCGCGGCGCAUUAGCUAGUUGGUGAGGUAAUGGCUCACCAAGGCAACGAUGCGUAGCCGACCUAAGAGGGUGAUCGGCCACACUGGGACUGAGACACGGCCCAGACUCCUACGGGAGGCAGCAGUAGGGAAUCUUCCGCAAUGGACGAAAGUCUGACGGAGCAACGCCGCGUGAGUGAUGAAGGUUUUCGGAUCGUAAAGCUCUGUUGUUAGGGAAGAACAAGUGCCGUUCGAAUAGGGCGGUACCUUGACGGCACCUAACCAGAAAGCCACGGCUAACUACGUGCCAGCAGCCGCGGUAAUACGUAGGUGGCAAGCGUUGUCCGGAAUUAUUGGGCGUAAAGGGCUCGCAGGCGGUUUCUUAAGUCUGAUGUGAAAGCCCCCGGCUCAACCGGGGAGGGUCAUUGGAAACUGGGGAACUUGAGUGCAGAAGAGGAGAGUGGAAUUCCACGUGUAGCGGUGAAAUGCGUAGAGAUGUGGAGGAACACCAGUGGCGAAGGCGACUCUCUGGUCUGUAACUGACGCUGAGGAGCGAAAGCGUGGGGAGCGAACAGGAUUAGAUACCCUGGUAGUCCACGCCGUAAACGAUGAGUGCUAAGUGUUAGGGGGUUUCCGCCCCUUAGUGCUGCAGCUAACGCAUUAAGCACUCCGCCUGGGGAGUACGGUCGCAAGACUGAAACUCAAAGGAAUUGACGGGGGCCCGCACAAGCGGUGGAGCAUGUGGUUUAAUUCGAAGCAACGCGAAGAACCUUACCAGGUCUUGACAUCCUCUGACAAUCCUAGAGAUAGGACGUCCCCUUCGGGGGCAGAGUGACAGGUGGUGCAUGGUUGUCGUCAGCUCGUGUCGUGAGAUGUUGGGUUAAGUCCCGCAACGAGCGCAACCCUUGAUCUUAGUUGCCAGCAUUCAGUUGGGCACUCUAAGGUGACUGCCGGUGACAAACCGGAGGAAGGUGGGGAUGACGUCAAAUCAUCAUGCCCCUUAUGACCUGGGCUACACACGUGCUACAAUGGACAGAACAAAGGGCAGCGAAACCGCGAGGUUA
rnacentral:rRNA from 1 species